UCUCCCGUGAGGGAGCAGUCUCGCCUGACCAUAUAGGCAACAGGCAACGGGGGUUGCGUUCGUUACCCCACUGAAGGGAACAGUUCAAACCACGAACUGACGACGACCAUGCAUCACCUGUGCAACACCCUCGAAGGCUUCUCUCCUUUCGGAGAGAAUGCAGUUGCAUUUCUAACCUUGGUAAGGUUCUUCGUUUGCUUACGAAUUGAGCCACAUAAUCCACUGCUUGUGCGAGUCCCCGUCUAUUCCUUUGAGUUUUAAUCUUGCGAUCGUACUACCCAGGCGGCUCGCUUACCGCGUUAGCUUAGUCUCACAGAGGGUCGAUACUCCGUAAAACGAGCGAGCAACGUUGAGGGCCAGGACUAC
rnacentral:misc_RNA from 1 species